rnacentral:lncRNA from 1 species
UAUUUCUUUAAUUCGUUACUAAUUUUACUUAUUUCUUUAAUUCAUUCCUGUUUGUUUACCAAAAAUAAAUUUAAAAUUCCAGCAUUUUGCGUGUCUAGAAGAAACGAUAAAAAGUGUCACAUAAAAUAUGAAUAUUACACAUAGGUAAUUUAUUUCAUCAGCAAGUACAAAAUGCAUUAAUAAAUUAAAUCUUUCACUUGAGGCUUCGGAGAUACUCUAGAGCCGGGCCCUAUCAUGACUCGUCUUAUUUCCUCACUUUAGCGUUGCCAAGUUCUGAACCUUAAUGUAAGCAGUUGAGUUAUAA